UUAGGUUGGUGCAAAAGUAAUUGUGGUUUUUGUCAUUAAAAGUAACCGCAAAAACCACAAUUACUUUUUCAUCAACCUAAUA
ensembl:miRNA